rnacentral:rRNA from 1 species
AGCAACGCCGCGUGGGCGAUGAAGGCCUUCGGGUCGUAAAGCCCUUUUGAGGGGGACGAUGAUGACGGUACCCCUCGAAUAAGCCACGGCUAACUACGUGCCAGCAGCCGCGGUAAUACGUAGGUGGCAAGCGUUGUCCGGAUUUACUGGGCGUAAAGGGCGUGCAGGCGGUUUGUUUAGUCUAGGGUGAAAGCUCCCGGCUUAACUGGGAGAGGUCCUUGGAUACUGGCAAACUUGAGGGAGGCAGAGGAAAGUGGAAUUCCCGGUGUAGUGGUGAUAUGCGUAGAUAUCGGGAGGAACACCAGUGGCGAAGGCGGCUUUCUGGGCCUUACCUGACGCUGAGACGCGAAAGCGUGGGGAGCGAACCGGAUUAGAUACCCGGGUAGUCCACGCCGUAAACUAUGGACACUAGGUGUGGGGGGUAUCGACCCCCUCCGUGCCGCAGCUAACGCAAUAAGUGUCCCGCCUGGGGAGUACGGCCGCAAGGCUA